UACGUAGGAGACGAGCGUUGUCCGGAUUUACUGGGCGUAAAGCGCGCGCAGGCGGCCCCGCAGGUCGGUUGUGAAAUCCCUCGGCUCAACUGAGGAACUGCACGGGAAACUGCCUGGCUUGAGUUCGGGAGAGGGAAGCGGAAUUCCGGGUGUAGCGGUGAAAUGCGUAGAUAUCCGGAGGAACACCGGUGGCGAAGGCGGCUUCCUGGACCGACACUGACGCUGAGGCGCGAAAGCUAGGGGAGCAAACGGG
rnacentral:rRNA from 1 species